rnacentral:rRNA from 1 species
AGUGAACGCUGGCGGUAGGCCUAACACAUGCAAGUCGAACGGCAGCACAGUAAGAGCUUGCUCUUACGGGUGUCGAGUGGCGGACGGGUGAGGAAUACAUCGGAAUCUACUUUUUCGUGGGGGAUAACGUAGGGAAACUUACGCUAAUACCGCAUACGACCUACGGGUGAAAGCAGGGGAUCUUCGGACCUUGCGCGAUUGAAUGAGCCGAUGUCGGAUUAGCUAGUUGGCGGGGUAAAGGCCCACCAAGGCGACGAUCCGUAGCUGGUCUGAGAGGAUGAUUAGCCAGAUUGGAACUGAGAAUCGGUCCAGACACUGGGGCGAGGACGCAGUGCAGACUAUUGGACGAUGGAGGCAAGCCGAAUCCAGCCAUACCGCGUGAGUGAAGAAGGAGUUAGGCUUGUAGAGCCAUUUUGUCGGGAAAGAAAAGCAGCAGGUUAAUACCCCGCUGUAAUGACGGUACCCAAAGAAUAAGCACCGGCUAACUUCGUG